AUGAGGAGACCAUGGCUCAGGAAGACUUGCUCUAGAUUACACAGGCAUUCAGGAAUAGAUCUUGGAUUUAAACCCAAGUUUUCCUCCAGAGACAGUAUAUCUACUCUAUCACUGAUCUCUGAUCUUUCUGUCUCUGUCUCUUUGUCUCUGUCUCUGUCUCUAUCCCUUUCUGUGUCUCUCUGUGUCUCUCUCACCCCCCUUCCCCCUCCUUCCUUUCUUCUCUGUCUUUUUGCUCUCUCUGACUCUGUCUCUCCUCCUUCCUCUUUCUCUCCCCUUCUCCCUCCCUCCUUUUCUUCUCUGUCUUUUUGCUCUCUCUAUCUCUGUCUGUUUGUCUCUCCUCUUUUUACAACCUUCUCUUCUCUUUCAGUGUUCAUUAAAGCUGGAUCUCUUGCUGUACCUCUGGAGGGUGUUAAAGAAUCAUAGAAUCAUAAUUACAGAAUCUUAAAACUAGAAGAGGCCUUGGAGCUGUCUAGUCCAACACUUCUUGACUCAGGAUCACCUCUGGGCCACUCUGACAACCAUCCAUUGUCUGUUCAAAGACCUCUAGGGAGAGAGAACAGACAAGUUCACUUGGAGCAGCAGAACAAGACCAAUGCUUUCUUUGUAUUUAAUUACACCUUAGAUAUGAAGGCCACCAUGGUAUCCUUGCUAAAUCUUUUCUCUAUGAAAAACAUCACCAGGUUCCUUCAUCUAGUCCUUGUGUGUGGCAACUUCAUGGAAUUUAGAGCCAGAAAGGAACUGAGAGGUGACCUCAUCCAAUGAUCCCAUUUUAAAAACCAAUACACUGAGGUCUAGGGAUGAAAAGUGACCUGCCAAGAUCUCCUCACAGGUAAUUAAGUACCAAAGAAGAAAAUAAUGGCCUCCUUUAACCUGUUGGAAGAUUGGUCCCACUCCUGGAUACUACUGUCCUCAGAAUCUACAGUGGACAGGCCAUGGUCAAACUAUAUGAAUUUCGAACCUAGAACAACUGGUAUUUUAAUCCAUAAGAAGCCUUUCAGAAGAGAAGGAAAUCUCUUCUCUGAGAAUGCUGCCUUCUGGGGAAGGCUUGCUUUUCCUCUGAGAGGAGUCAUACUCCUGAGCAGGACUUGGGGUAGCUAUAAUUUGCAGAGAAUACAGCUUUAGGAGGCCAAGCCUUCUUUGCUUGUAUGUGAAGAAGGCCUUAGAAUGACAGUAGAAUUUAGAGAGGAGAGACCUUGAGACAGUGAUCAUCAGAAAGAGGAGGGAUUUUAGAGAAUGUCAUAGCUGGAGGGACUUUAGAACAGAGAAAGUCAGAGAUGGGAAGGGCUUUAGAAUAUGGAAUGCCAGAACUGGAAUGGAUCUUAGACUAUGGUAGCUUAGAGUUGAAAGAACUUAGAACAGAGAAUAUUAGUGAUGGAGCAGAGCUCUUCAACUCAUUUCUCUGGCAAGGAAACUUAAGAGGAUG
rnacentral:lncRNA from 1 species